UGCAUGAGUUACUGAGUGAAUACAUCAGCAUGUGUUCAUUCCUCUGCUGAAGAAUGAGAGCGUUUCUAAAGAACGGAAGUGGACCGACCAUUUUGAAACCACGCACCGCUUAGCACAAUGGAUAAGGGCCACACGGUUAAGCUCUUUGUUGGGAACCUGGCACUGGACACUACGCAAGAAGAACUGUCAGCCAUUUUUGAGUCUUAUGGCCAGGUGGUUAGCUGCAGUGUUUUGAGGCAGUUUGCUUUCGUCCACCUGCAAGGAGAGGGCGCUGCUGAACGUGCCAUUCGGGAGCUCAAUGGCCGAGAGUUCAAAGGUCGUAACCUUGUGGUUGAGGAGUCCCGGGGCCGCCCACUCCAUUCAACAAAGGUGUUUGUGGGUAAUCUGAGCAGUAUGUGCACCACAGAAGACCUCCAGGAGCUGUUUCAGACUUUUGGGAAAGUUCUGGAGUGUGACAAAGUGAAAGGUUAUGCCUUUGUACAUAUGGAGAACAAGGAAGAUGCCCUGCAGGCUAUUGAAGCUUUGCAUGGGACUUCCUUCAAAGGCCGACCACUAUCCGUGGAGCUCUCCAAAGUUCAGCCAAGUAAGCAGACCCCUACUGGAAAGAUCCCAUGUGUAAGCUGUGGCAAACAGGGUCACUACGCAGGUGAAUGCCCUGCUGGGAAGCCCACCCUGGAGCAAUAUCAGAGCCAAGCAGCAGUGCUAGCCGCUGCGGCUGCUGCUGCGGCUGGUCUGCCAUUGCAGGUUCAACAGAGUGUCCACAAUUCUGUGUACAACACCUCUACUUUUGACCCCACUUAUGCUGCUCUGAGUGGACUUACUGCUGGUGCAAGGGCAGAAGGAGGUACAGCGGUGGCUCCAGCCGUCUAUGGCGCACUAGCUAGUCAAGUGUAUGGAACAGUUGCUAAUCAGCUCUACAGCGGGACAGUCGCAAAUCAGGCGCUCAGCAACAGUGCUGCUGCGGCUGCUGCUGCACAGAUGUAUGGCUCUGUUAACCCAGCUUUUUAUGGGCAGAUGGCCGCCGCAGCUGCUGCCGCUGCAUACGGUCCACAGGUUUAUACUUCGGCGGUAGCUAAUCCAGUGUUCCUGGCGGCACACGGCAUGGAGGUACCGGCAGCUGCUGCUGUCAACCCAGCCUAUACAGUAGCACCAGCCCUCUACAGUGCUAGCCCAGCUUAUGGGGCUCUGGGUUCAGCUGAUCCAGCAGCUAUCUUUGAGGCAGCCAGGGCACACUACUUUGCACAAGGGCAGCAGGUUCUAGCUGAACAGCAACAUACUAGCUCCAAGUCAGGAGAAAGGGACCGGAGUCCACUAAGAAGAUCUGCCCCGUUGUUGCCAGACCCUGUUAUGAAGCCAUUUAUGUACCAGAGGGCCAAACGCAGAGCCUUGUUGCCUACACCUGCAGGUCGAGAGGAGGCUGCUGCACAGGAGGACGACCCUGUAGCCAGAUAUUACGCGGAAUACUACCAACAGUACCAGCAGUACCAGCAGCUGCAGCAGUACCCACAGUACCAGUAUGCCUAUGCAUCUCCCAACCACCUUGCAGCAUUGUCCGGACUGUCCACCCUGUCUGGUAUGCCCACUCAGCAAGUAGCAACGCUCGACAGCCUCAGGCCAAUGCUGCCCACCACCGCCGUGCCUGCCGCCAUCGCCAUGGCAACACCCCGCGUGUAUGAGCCUCCGCCGAUUCCGCCAUCGCAAAAGGAGCCCCUCCUCCGCCGCCCCGAACUUGCCCUACACACCCCUGAAACACCCUUCCGAUAGUGUGCUCCAAGUCCUUUCUGCCUCUCCUUUCGUUGUGCUGCGUGUGUGUGUCAGUUAAACAAACACAGGUGUAUGCUUAUGACGUGUCCGUGUUUGGGUUUAAGAUAGUGGGCGUGUUGGUUUUACCUGGAGACUGGAAUCUCUAACCUUGGUUCUGAUCACACACCCGGUUCAGUCAGGGCUGAAAAGGAAACUGCAUGCUCUCAUUCCUGCACACUUAACCAAUGAAACACAUCAGUGGUCUGUUUUAAUAAAUGUCUUUUGACCUUAAAUCUAUUGCCAGUUAGGAGUAGAUUAGGGGUUGGGGUAGGAUAAAUUAGGCAAUAGCCAUGUUGCUUUUUAACUUUUAUAUUCAUAAAUGUUUGUAGUCUAUGAAUGAUACUGUACUUGAUAUUUUUAAACAUUGCUUGAAAUAGUUAUACGAACGUAACCAUUUUACAUAUUCAGAUAGUUAUUGAGAAAUUAGAUUUCAAAACAUUUCAGUAAAUUUGAAAGUAUGUUUACUCCAAAGGUGUGUGAAGUGUAGGACCAGGGUUGGACAGUGUUUUACAUGUCUUUGUGUGUUUCUUGUUUUUCUCUGGGACUGUGGCGUAGCGUGUAUGCUUUCCAUUGGUUGUCACGACUGGACGUGUACACGUGCAUAUGGAAGCAACCUCGAUCCACACGCACAUACAGUUGAAGUCAGAAGUUUACAUACACUUAGGUUGAAGUCAUUAAACCACUCCACAGAUUUCAUAUUAGCAAACUAUAGUUUUGACAAGUCAUUUAGGACAUCUACUUUGUGCAUGACACAAGUACUUUUUCCAACAAUUGUUUUAAAGGCAGAUUGUUUCACUUUUAAUUGACUAUAUCACAAUCCCAGUGGGUCAGAAUUUUACAUACACUAAGUUAACUGUGCCUUUAAGCAGCUUGGAAAAUUCCAGAAAAUGAUGUCAAGCCUUUAGACAAUUAGCCAAUUAGCUUCUGAUAGGAGGUGUACUGAAUUGGAGGUGUACCUGUGGAUGUAUUUUAAGGCCUACCUUCAAACUCAGUGCCUUUUUGCUUGACACCAUGGGAAAAUCUAAAGAAAUCAGCCAAGACCUCAGAAAACAAUUGUGGACCUCCACAAGACUGGUUCAUCAUUGGGAGCAAUUUCCAAAUGCCUGAAGGUACCACUUUCAUCUGUACAAACAAUAGUACGCAAGUAUAAAUGCCAUGGGACCACACAGCCAACAUACCGCUCAGGAAGGAGACGCAUUCUGAUUCCUAAAGAUGAACGUAGAUGGUGCAAAAAGUGCAAAUCAAUCCUAGAACAACAGCAAAUGACCUUGUGAAAAUGCUGGAGGAAACAAGUAGACAAAUAUCUAUAUCCACAGUAAAACGAGUCCUAUAUCGACAUAACCUUAAAGGCUGCUCAGCAAGGAAGAAGCCACUGCUCCAAAGCCGCCAUAAAAAAGCCAGACUACAGUUUGCAAGUGCACAUGGGGACAAAGUUCUUACUUUUUGGAGAAAUGUCCUCUGGUCUAAUGAGACAAAAAUGUUACUGUUUGGCCAUAAUGACCAUUGUUAUGUUUGGAGGAAAAAGGGUGAGGCUUGCAAGCCGAAGAUCACCAUCCCAACCAUGAAGCAUGGGGGUGGCAGCAUCAUGUUGUGGGGGUGCUUUGCUGCAGGAGGGACUGGUGCACUUCACAAAAUAGAUGGCAUUAUGAGCAAGGAAAAUGAUGUGGAUAUUUUGAAGACAUCAAGAUAUCAGCCAAAUGGGUCUUCCAAAUGGACAAUGACCCCAAGCAUACCUCCAAAGUUGUGGCAAAAUGGCUUAAGGACAACAAAGUCAAGGUAUUGGAGUGGCCAUCACAAAGCCCCGACCUCAAUCCGAUAGAAAAUUUGUGGGCAGAACUGAAGAAGUGUGUGCGAGCAAGGAAGCCUACAAACCUGACUCAGUCACACCAGUUCUGUCUGGAGGAAUGGGCCAAAAUUCCAGCAACUUAUUGUAAGAAGCUUGUGGAAGGCUACCCAAAACAUUUGACCCAAGUUAAACAAUUUAAAGGCAAUGAUACCAAAUACUAACAAAGUGUAUAUAAAUGUCUGAUCCACUGGGAAUGUGAUGAAAGAAAUAAAAGCUGAAAUAAAUAAUUCUCUCUGCUAUCAUUCUGACAUUUCACAUUCUUAAAAUAAAGUAGUGAUCCUAACUGACCUAAAACAGGGAAUGUUUUCUAUGAUCAAAUGUCAGGAAUUGUGAAAAACUGAGUUUAAAUGUAUUUGGUAUAUGUAAACUUGUGACUUCAGCUGUACAUAUGCAUCCCUUACACCCCAGAUAGGUGAAACCUUAGUGAUGACCUUUAACCCCACCCUUCCAUCCCUGUCCACCCAUCCUGAAAGCUGAAAGACACUGUGACUUCUCUCCCCUCCUACUUUAUGUAGCUACUUCCAUAGAUAUGGUGACGUAUGGGAAACACCCAAUCAGAGGAAGGUGUAGCUAGUCAGAUUUGCUGGGAUGGGCCCUCUGGCCUGUCUGUCUUAUGGGAGCGUCUUUACGUCACCGACUUAACUGCCACAAUGCAUUGUAGAAUCUGUUUUUGUAAAUGUCUUUUAUUAAUGCAAUCAUGUUUAUAUAUAUAUAUAUAUAUAUAUAUAUAUAUAUAUAUAUAUAUAUAUAUAAAAGUAGUUAUAAGGGACUAAAAUAUCCAUUUUAAGAAACAUACUUUUAAUUUGUAACUUUUGUUUACAGCUGCAAGCGAGAAAUACUCACACUGAUUGUUUAUAGCCAAAAAACACGGCAAAAUCAUGUUUUUAGUGGCCUAUGAUUCUUAUGCCUUAGUAGUGAAUUGUAUACAGUUUUUUCUAUUUUUUAUCUGUAGUCUUAUAAUGUGAAACUGGAUUAAGGCAACACGUAUGUGCUGUAUAUUCUGUGGUGCUGUGAUUUGGAAUUAAAUGCAUUGGGAGAUUCUUAUCAGUUUCUUUCAGUCUUCCUGCUCUUUUCGCUGCUGAAACUCCAUAGUUGACCCUCACUGCAUCUCUCUUCAUCUCUCGUUGCAUCUGCCUCUCAUUUAGUGCCAGUAUGUCAUUCGUUUACCAUGCCCCUGUUCGCACCUAUGUGCUGAGGAUGCCAAUGUGUGAAUGUUAUCUUAGAAAAUGUUUGCAUUGACAUUCAUGUUUGUAGUUUCUGUCAUGGUAACUAUUUUUGCCGCAAGUGUUCUCUGAAGUGAAGACUGUACACAAUCUUUACUGACUAAAUAACUUCAAAUAAGGAGCUUGCCCAAUCAUCUAAAAAAGGAAACAGGAGCUUUUGCUUGGAGCUUUUACUAUUGAUGUUUCAUGAUUGUUUUUCCUUUGUGAAAGACUAGACUCUUACGAAUUGGAGCCCUAAAAAGAAGCUAAAGGACUAGAGACUGAUCCCAAUCUCACCCCUGUCUCUGUGGAUGGGGUCCCAAUGGAACUGUGGACACCAUGCGCAGUGCUGUUUGUGGGGGGUGAAGAAAGUUAGCAUGGGGAAAUGCACAGGAAGUUCUCUCACUCCAUUCAGGUAAAAGCACUGUGCCUCGCCCCUUUUCUAACUGUCGUCCACCCUGAUAGCGUCUGCGCCUUGACCGUGUACCCGCUCUAUUUCUCCUCACCACCAUCCCACCCCUCCUGUAGAUUACAGACUUUAAACACCAGUGUUACGCUACUCUGUCACUGCCAAAAGGGGGCGGCGGGGAUGACCAUUUACUGCUUUGGUGGUUAGUGUGUCUCUGUAAUGGGUGGGUGCUUGGUGAUGCGUUGGGGUAGCUUUGGAGAGAAUGUGGUGAUAAUUAGUCUAAAUAUGGUUGGUGAGUGAAUGAAUAAAUAUUAAAUACAUUUUGAAUGUGUCUUUAAGUGGGUGUGUGAACACAAGUUAUCAAGAGGUGGCUGAUAAAGAAAGAGUGACAAAGGUGAGUACUUCUGAGUCAAACUGCUCUAAGGCUUGGCAGAUGUGGACCUUGCUCAAGAGUUCCUCCGGUAUCGCCGACCUCGCCUAGUCCUCUGUCCAUGUGCCUUUUUUAUGUUAUGAUUUUACUCCCCCCCCCAACCCCCCCCCCCAGGCUUCCCCAAUAAUGCUCGCCGUUAACGCCCAGCUUACCGCCGCCGUCGUUGCAUCCCCAGUGAUAGCUGUUGAGUUUGUUCAGUGUUUACCACUGCCUGAACGCAUCCUAAUAGCUUUGUAUCACUGGACCUGAAACACCGGCCAAACUUUACAUUCGCAAGACUCUCAUUUGGACUUCGUAACACUGGCAGACCUUAUCUUGGAGUGCAGCAUUUACGGCUGUGCUACAUUGCUGUGACUGAGCCUCAAACUUUUAUAAACUUUUGCUUAUCCCUCCUUGAUCAGUGUUGGGUAGUAACAGAUUUCAUGGCGGGAUAACUGAGAAAUACAAUCUUUGCCAUCCAAAAAUAUAUCAGUUGAUAAAGACCCCACAUCCAAACUUAAAGAGCAAUUGGUUCUCUAUAUGUGUUCUUUAUAUGAACACAUAUAGAGAAAUAUAAAAUUAAAAUCAGUACAUCGUUAAAAAUAUCAAAUAUUUUAAUAAUUAUUUUAUGUAUCUUAUGGCUAGCCAUUUGUGCAUAUACAGAAAUUGAGAAGCCCACACCUCAUGGAUAAUUAUGAGGUGUCAAUUGUUCAUCUCUACUACAAAUCUAGAGAAAUGCUUGAUAAAAUACCUAGUAAAAUACCUGAACAACAUUCCUGCAUAACAAUAAACAUGCAUGUUUUACUCAGCGACUGACAAAUAGCAAGUACAUUUUUUCACUUUCAUGUUUACUAAUGUUUAAACCGUAAUCCACAAUUAUGUUACUGAUUACAAUUUUAGUUGUGUUAUCAGUACUGAAUUACAUUUCAGAAGUAAUCUACCCAACACUGUCCUUGGUUGACGAAACUUUUCAGGCUUGAAGAGCAGCUUUUGUCGUCCCACAAAGUUAGGGUUAAUGAACAUUGUCAUAUUAUUGAAAUUAUCUUUUGAGUUAAUCAGAAACCCACAUUUUGUCCGCUGUUCAAAUGAGAGUCUGAUAUGUUUGUGUGUGAAGUAGCUUGGGUUACUUGCAGAUCCUUUUUUCUAGAAAAAAUAAAAAUACAAAAACCUGUCUCAUGCCUCUUUUCCACCAACUGGGUGCCGGUGCCUAUUCCGUAACAGUUCUGUGUGUUUCUACCACAGAAAAGAUAGUUCUGAGCCAGAAAAAUUGGCUCUGCACUGGCCAGGUGUUUAAGUUAAACCUGUUGGCGUUGAACCAGAAACCUCUAACUGUAGAGGCCAGGGGCAGUAUAAUGUCUUAACCAAGUACCGUUUUUAAAACAAUAAUCAGCAUUCUGGAUCAGAUUGCACCUAGCCAACCACGUUGCCUCUUAAAGUAUACUCUUUUUGACUGUGAGCGAAUAUGAAUGCGUUUGUUGUAUGCCCACUACAACUGCUUUUUGACAUUGCAUGUGCUGGCCACUGAUACUAAACAGUGACAAUGGGCGCAGAUGAGGAUAGCCAAAGUAUACUUAGGAUUUUAAUUGCUCCAUUUAAGGCUGUCAAUUUAAAAUGAUAAUUUCUGUCAAAUUUGAAAAAUGUACAUUUGAAUGCUUAAACUGUGCAUUCGAAUUUUGGAUGUGUGCCAAGCACUGACAAUGACUUAAGACCGAUCACAUUCUUGCGCUAAAAAAAGGCUAGAUGCAGCGCAACAAAUACAGUUUAACAGAACGCAGGUGUCUUGAGAUGUUUUUUUUUUUUGGUUUUUUUUGAGGGUUGAAGUUCUUUUUAACAAGGCAUCUAAAAAAACAGUGCUCCUGCACAAGACAAUAAAUGAACAUUGAAACGUGGCCAAAUGAUCAAAAACGUUCGUCUAACACCUGUUUUACAUAGAAAAAAGUAAAGGUAAACUGGAUGGUUAUAAAAGCUUUUGGUGUGAACUGUGUUUCUCAGAUUAAGAAACUGGUUUUAAAAUGCUUUAUCAGGAAAGGAGUUCAAUUUAGAAAUGUCUGUCAAUAAAAGUAAAUGCAGAUUUUUUACAGCCAGGAAUGUUCUUUGCAAUAAUAUAAACCUGUGCUGUAUGGUUUCUGUGUAUUAAUUGCACCCUCUUGUGGACUAAGGAAACACAAUUUAAAAAUCUGCUGAAUUUAGUUUCUCAGCCCUGUUGACAGCCCUAGCUCCCAUUAUAAUCAAUGGAACUUUUUACACUGGAAAUGCCUGAUUCAUCGCAUCACAUUACAAGCUCAAUUGACGAGCUCAGUCACAUGUAAUUUUUGUCAUGUUGCAAAAAGUCUCCAGACACAUGCCCAAGUCUGAAAAAUGUGUCUUUGAUGGCAGAUGUAACUGAUAGUUUUCAGAGGUGUUUGAGUGGAACAUUUCAUUCAGUAUGUGGGUUCUUUAAUAUCUCGCAUUGAAUAACAAUCCUUCUACAAUUUAAUCUUCCAACAUAAGCCUCCCUGAGGAGAUGGCACAUUCCACAGUUUCCAUGGAUAACGGAAUGCUCCCCCUGACCAUGUUCUUCCACCACAGAUCCCUUCUAGUUGUUGUAUCCCCUUAAAUUUGGAAAGCUCCAAUAUUUUGUUUUAUUUUUUUCUCUGAUUUUUUUCUCUGUUUAUAAGGUUAUCGCGGACUGGGUGAAGACAGUUCUUGGACUUUUGAAGGUUAAAGUCAGUCAUUUUUAACUGAUGUAUGAAACUGGAAUUAUUUCUAUUGCAGGCGAUAGGAUACAAGCUGGUCAUAAUUUUUUAUUACCUUCUGAAGAAUAUAUGCAUGUUUGUUAAUGUGUGUAUAUCACGAAAACCUUGCAACUUGUGAAGUGUACUCUUCUACACCAGCUUCUGCACGAACACUGUCUAGCAUCGCAUGCUUGCUGCAAUAAACUAGUACAAUACCACA